rnacentral:rRNA from 1 species
UACAGAGGGUGCGAGCGUUAAUCGGAAUUACUGGGCGUAAAGCGCGCGUAGGCGGCUUUGCAAGUCGGGUGUGAAAUCCCCAGGCUUAACCUGGGAACUGCAUUCGAGACUGCAUUGCUAGAGUAUGGGAGAGGGAAGUGGAAUUUCCGGUGUAGCGGUGAAAUGCGUAGAUAUUCGGAAGAACACCAGUGGCGAAGGCGACUUACUGGAUCAUGACUGACGCUGAGGCUCGAAAGCGUGGGGAGCAAACAGG